UACUGCCAGAGGUUCCGUGAUAGGCGUUUCAGGUUUGGUAAGCGGAGGCGGUGGCGGCCGACGUGUGAGCGGCUCGUCGGCGAGUGGCUAGCUCUCGUACGUCGGUGGCACGGACCCGCGCACGCCCCCGUCGGGGCGGCAGGACCCGCGGUCACGCGUGACGGUGGCGGGGAGGUGGAGGUCCCGAUGGUAGGCCACGCGGCGGGCCCCGCCCUUCCGCAGCAGCUCCCCCUUCCUCUUGCAGACCUCGCAUCUGUUGCUUGCGCGGCGGCUCGUCUUCCCAGCCAGGGUUUUCUUGGUGGCGCCCGCCUCCGCGGGCCCUCCCGCGUCGUCCCGCGGGGGCGGCGGCCCCUCAUCCUUCCUCUUACUGCGCCCGAGCUCCCAAGACCAGAGGCCUCGGUACGACCACCUCCAGCUCUGGCACGAGGUCUGGGUCCUUAGACAUAAUUCCGGAAGGACCCUAUGUAAACGCUCAUCGAAUUCACCGCAUACCUUCCCACAGCCUCGACACAAGAGUGGUUAGUGUCGUCUCUACCUUGGACAACCUGAUCCUUCGUUUGUCCUCAUAGAAAUACUAACGAUGUGAGAAAGAGCGUAACUCUUCAGCAUACUAUCACAAGUACCCUGGCUCUAGGUUUCCUUCUGUUUAACCCACGUCGAGUUAGGAGUACCCCUUCGACUCUUCGUCUCACGGUCGCUACUACUUACCUCAGUACCAUAGAGGUCACCCUGACAACUAAAUGGACGCGUACUUAUAAAACUAGAAUUUUUCUCGCUACAUGAACUACUUCUACAAUACUAACUUCUUGGUCCCUAACAUAAAAAACUCCUACCUAGUAUGAGAUCUCCAGGUGAACUAUAUCUUUAGCCGCUUAUACUACUUAGAUUUAUGAAGGAGAGUGGUUGCAUAGUCAAACUCGUUUCAGACCAGUUUCCUACGGUGUUUUCUGACGCAUAACACGUAUGGUAACUUAAGUUACUUCCUCCUCGCUUAUAUGUUUGGCAUUCCCAACGACACAUACUUCUUUUUACCCGAUCGGGUCGUUUAUAGGUACAACUUCUAUAAUGGGGACAACUGCAGUCUGGAAAGAGAGUUUCUUUCGCCUGCUUUGGUAGUCUUAACUGUCCGGGGACCUUUCAUAUACUUCAGUCACGUUGUGGUUAAAAGUCACUCUUUCAUUUUCUUUAUCUCCCACCUCGGCGGAAACAUAUGAACACGUACCUCUGGUACUUCUUCUCUUGGAACGGUCUCUCGAGACAAAAGAAGCCCCUCCUCCUCUACGAGCUAUACGUUCUGCACUGAUAUGAAACCAACGGACCUCCGCAGUGGCGGAUACAACUGCAUCUAUUUCUACCAUAUGAGACGUAGCCUCAAUCAACCAUGAGCCUCCUUCCCUAAUUAGACCACUACCUCUCCCUGAUACCUUGACUGCCCUUCGAGUCCCUUCAAGCCUGCUUUUGACUUUAGUUCGCGUCUAACGGCUAUGUUACAAACGAAUCGAACUAGCAACCUCUUGUACCCACCUGGACCUGGUACCAGUACGGAGCACCUCGUCUACGUCCUUCAGGUCGAAACCUUCUACGUUGGUUCCUUCUCACGGAUGUUUCUAAUGUCUUGGCCUAACUCCACGGAAUACUAUCAGUUUUAUCUCUUGUAGUCCUUCGUGAGUUUCGGGAAACCGUACGAAGAAAAGGACCCUGACUUGAAGAUCCUGAUCAUAGUCUAGUUACCUUCCUCUACCCUACCGUUCCCUUUCUAGGUAGGUGUCUAAAGUCCCCACCACCGAAAUAGAGAAACCUCUUAAAUGAAAUGAAGCGAUUCUUGAUAGGUUUUAGGAAGCUCCUCGAGGAAACAUUCGUUUUACCACUGUCUCGUAAUACCCUUAUAGGUAAACGACAUCGACCUCAUUUAUAAUGUAAAUACGAGUAAGUCUACGAACUAGAAGUUCGUCGAUUCGGUUCCAGAAACUAACCUCGUCACAAGGAUUUAGAUGAAUAUCUUUUGCUAGCUCGAAAACUAUAAGAAAUGACGUAUUGGAAAUUCGACUACCUAGCCUUUACCGAACUUUACGUGCGGUGUAUAUACCUAAAAUUAUGACAAUAAUUUAGGUGUGCCGCGGUCGAACUCUCUCUCGAUAAUGAACUUCUAUAAGUCGUUUAACUCCUGUACGGCAGUAUGCCCAAAGAACGGGCAAUCGUUGACUUCAGAACGGAUUGUAGCGGUGCACAUCAUUUCAAGAACUGUGUACGAAGAUUUCUCACCUUACAUCCUUAGUCCCUGAGCACGAACACACCAAAAGCGAUAGCACGAAUCCAUGAGACUAUAGGACUCGCGUACAAACCCAGAAGAACCUAGACUGGAGAUCUCAUUGACCGAUGGACUUGUCGUCAACCCGGUACGAUCACGGCCAUCCUACAUGAAAGCCUUUGUUAAACAGGACCGCGCCUCAGAAGCACGAUCCUUAAUGCAUCAUUCAAGACUUUGAGGAGUCAUGAGUUCUGUUGAAACAUCGGUUCACGUAUUUACUAUAACCACGUGAGAACAAAACGUGAUUUGUGUGUGCAAAACACACUAAAUAGGU
rnacentral:rRNA from 1 species